rnacentral:rRNA from 1 species
UCCGGUGGUCAUGGCGGAGGGGACACACCCGGUCCCAUGCCGAACCCGGCCGUUAAGCCCUCCAGCGUCGAUGGUACUGCGGUCCUAACCGUGGGAGAGUAGAUCGCCGCCGGAA